rnacentral:rRNA from 2 species
GGACGAACGCUGGCGGCGUGCCUAAUACAUGCAAGUCGAACGAACUCUGGUAUUGAUUGGUGCUUGCAUCAUGAUUUACAUUUGAGUGAGUGGCGAACUGGUGAGUAACACGUGGGAAACCUGCCCAGAAGCGGGGGAUAACACCUGGAAACAGAUGCUAAUACCGCAUAACAACUUGGACCGCAUGGUCCGAGCUUGAAAGAUGGCUUCGGCUAUCACUUUUGGAUGGUCCCGCGGCGUAUUAGCUAGAUGGUGGGGUAACGGCUCACCAUGGCAAUGAUACGUAGCCGACCUGAGAGGGUAAUCGGCCACAUUGGGACUGAGACACGGCCCAAACUCCUACGGGAGGCAGCAGUAGGGAAUCUUCCACAAUGGACGAAAGUCUGAUGGAGCAACGCCGCGUGAGUGAAGAAGGGUUUCGGCUCGUAAAACUCUGUUGUUAAAGAAGAACAUAUCUGAGAGUAACUGUUCAGGUAUUGACGGUAUUUAACCAGAAAGCCACGGCUAACUACGUGCCAGCAGCCGCGGUAAUACGUAGGUGGCAAGCGUUGUCCGGAUUUAUUGGGCGUAAAGCGAGCGCAGGCGGUUUUUUAAGUCUGAUGUGAAAGCCUUCGGCUCAACCGAAGAAGUGCAUCGGAAACUGGGAAACUUGAGUGCAGAAGAGGACAGUGGAACUCCAUGUGUAGCGGUGAAAUGCGUAGAUAUAUGGAAGAACACCAGUGGCGAAGGCGGCUGUCUGGUCUGUAACUGACGCUGAGGCUCGAAAGUAUGGGUAGCAAACAGGAUUAGAUACCCUGGUAGUCCAUACCGUAAACGAUGAAUGCUAAGUGUUGGAGGGUUUCCGCCCUUCAGUGCUGCAGCUAACGCAUUAAGCAUUCCGCCUGGGGAGUACGGCCGCAAGGCUGAAACUCAAAGGAAUUGACGGGGGCCCGCACAAGCGGUGGAGCAUGUGGUUUAAUUCGAAGCUACGCGAAGAACCUUACCAGGUCUUGACAUACUAUGCAAAUCUAAGAGAUUAGACGUUCCCUUCGGGGACAUGGAUACAGGUGGUGCAUGGUUGUCGUCAGCUCGUGUCGUGAGAUGUUGGGUUAAGUCCCGCAACGAGCGCAACCCUUAUUAUCAGUUGCCAGCAUUAAGUUGGGCACUCUGGUGAGACUGCCGGUGACAAACCGGAGGAAGGUGGGGAUGACGUCAAAUCAUCAUGCCCCUUAUGACCUGGGCUACACACGUGCUACAAUGGAUGGUACAACGAGUUGCGAACUCGCGAGAGUAAGCUAAUCUCUUAAAGCCAUUCUCAGUUCGGAUUGUAGGCUGCAACUCGCCUACAUGAAGUCGGAAUCGCUAGUAAUCGCGGAUCAGCAUGCCGCGGUGAAUACGUUCCCGGGCCUUGUACACACCGCCCGUCACACCAUGAGAGUUUGUAACACCCAAAGUCGGUGGGGUAACCUUUU